GACGAACGCUGGCGGCGUGCUUAAACACAUGCAAGUCGAGCCGGUAAGGCCCUUUCGGGGUACGACGAGCGGCGAACGGGUGAGUAACACGUGGUGACCUGCCCUCAGCUCUGGGAUAAGCCUGGGAAACCGGGUCUAAUACUGGAUAUGACUCCAUGACGCAUGUUGUGGGGUGGAAAGCCUUGUGCGGCUGAGGAUGGGCCCGCGGCCUAUCAGCUUGUUGGUGGGGUUGANGGCCUACCAAGGCGACG
rnacentral:rRNA from 1 species